UUGUCCGAAAGCAGUAGGAACACUUGUGUAGUUGCUCUUUACCUUGGCCCAAUUGUCAUAAACCCAGCUGAAGUUUUUAGCUCCACCACUGGAGCCCCAAGCUGGGAGGUAGUGCUUCUUCUUUCUCAACUUUAUCCUGAAAACGAGCCAGUUUUCAACCAAUUAUUAACUGGAUUUGGCCAGAUAAUGAUGGAAUACUGGUCCAGCAGCUAGGCUGCAAGAGUCAAUCUGUUUCUGAGGUAGGAUGGGACUACUCCGUUUGAUUAACAAAACUGUGUAUUACACUAGAUCAUAAAAAGCAGGGUAAAAUGAAAAAAAUGCUUGGGAAUUUUAGAUAGUAGAUGGAAUUCAAAUGUCUGGCAGUUUGUCAGAUUCAUUAAGAUACAUGAAAAGCCCUAAGGUGGCGGUAACUAGGUGGCAAUGACUUGGUGUGCAGUAGAGCUGUUUUCCCCUUUCUGUACACUGGAAGCCAUCAGUUUAAUGCCAUUGCUCCUCCAAUGCUAUUGCUGUCUGUAAACUUUAUUUUCAGUGCAGAAUUCCACACUUGUCAGAUUCAUGGCCUGUGUGAUAUUGGUGGUUGCAUCAAAUGGUGUCAACACUUUCUUGAAAUAGCCUGUGUUUUGCAUACUAUUUUACUGCCUCCACCAACUAUUUUGUGAAGGAGAAAGUCAUCCAUGAAGCUCUGAAUUUUGGGUGUUUAAGUUUAGGCAGUAGAUUGAACAUACUAAUUGUGCAUCUGUCUGCCUGUCUAGCUAUAGAGGUAUGUGCAUGCAGUGCUAUGUUUCUAGAAAAGAGGUGCCGGAACUCACCAUGAAUGCCUCCCUUGUUCUCUUAUAAUGGCAAUGUCGCCCAGCUGAGAGGUGACGGAACUGAGUUCCAGUGAGUUCUGGCAGAAAAAAGCCCUGUGUACGUAUAUGUAAAUGGGUGUAUAUUUCAACUAGCCUAUCCGUAGUUGAUAAAAUCAAUGUCCAUUUGCUAUUGAAUAGCAUUCUGGGUAAUUUCCCUAUUAAAAACUUUGCCUCUAUUUUAAGAGCUCAAUUCAUCAGUCUUGUUAUGUGCUGAACUUCUCACCCUGGGUCAGCAGGGGGAUACUGUAGAUAGUUUUCGCUCAGGUCCACAUAUGCAAAUAAGGGAUUGAAAGUGACGUUCAGUGAUUGGAUAGUUACAGGAAGUUGUUACAGUUGUGUUGUACUGGAGCUCUAUAUAAGCAGGCUGGCUGAACCCUUCAGUUAACUUCUGUUCUGGCCUGUGAAUAAACAAGAGCUGUUUGAAGAACUGCUGUGUCGCCUGAUAUGUUCACCCACAAUUUAACAAGUCUAAUGACACAAGUGAUCAGACUGAGAUUAUUUGAGAACCAUACCAAGCUGAUUUUGCAUCCUGUUGUGCGGUAAGCAAAGUAGCUGCACCAACACAAUGAGGAACAUCAGUAUUGCCAAGUUUGGAAUGGUCUAAUACUUUGUUAGGGUGCUCUAGCACAGAAAUGAAAUCAGAUUAUGUUUGGCAUGAUCAAGACUAGGAAUGCUAAUCUAGUUUUGAUAAUCUCUUUUCAUUAUGAAGUCCCCAUGUCAGUGCAAAUCUAUGCAGGUGACAUGUGAUGAUACUAAUCAUGUUUUGAAAUGACUGGUGGCAAAACAGGAUGGGGUCUUGACGCAAGAUGCCCCUGCAGAUAUGCCCACUUUACCAUGCCAGUUUGUACCAGGCGGCUAAGCAAUAGCAUCUCCUAAAAGUUGUUUUGCUUUGUUUUUUUAUAAAUAGAUAUAAGUAAGUGCCAAGAAGAAAUGUACAUAGAGAAUCGGGUGAACAUAAUAUCAUUAUGAAGCCUGAGUUCCAUGCAUAUUGAUUGAUUGGUUCCCGUGAGGCAUCCUAAAGCAAUUUACACAGAACAAUUGCAUAUAUAAACAGCUCAAACAUUUGCAUAAAUAAAAACAGCUAAAACAUUUGCCUAUAGACAAUUACAAACCAUUUUAUAUAUAAACAAUUUAAAACCACAACACACAUAUCAAAGGAAUUCAAAUCCAAUACAGAUACCAGCUGGGGAAAGUCUUCACUUACAAGGCUUGUUGAAAGAGGAACAUCUUGAACAGGCACCAGAAGGACAGCAGAGAAGGUGCCUGUCUGAUACAUAAUAGGAAAGAAUUUCAAAUUGUAGAUGCUUAUAUUUAAGUGCCAACUCCAACAUCAGGCCUCUUGGCAAGAUAUUUUCUGCCAGAUGCUGUCUCCUGCAGAAUGCAGCGACUACCUUCUAUGUGUCCAAGUUUCAAACUGUAUAGGGCUUUGUAUACCAGCCAAUCAGCAUCCAGUACAGAUGUACAUAACAUAUUUCUGAUCUGAAAGUUUGUUGCGUAAUGGUGCAUGCACAUACAACCCAAUCAGAUGGGCAGGGGAUAAAUAAUACAUUUAUUAUUAUUACUAGGGUUUCUUACCUAUGACCAAUUGUUUUUGAGGUAACUUUGCCAUCACAGCUUAUCUGUCACCAUAUGAACUGAUAGUUCUACAGGUUCCUUUUAGGUAUUGGCUGGAGAGUCGUGAACAGUGUAGGAAUAAUAUUCAUUGACAUGUUUGAUGCAGAGAUCUAAAUAGAGACUAUUAUUUGUGAUGCGGCAUCUGUUUUGCUUGUAUUUAUUUUUGAUUCAGCUUUCUCAUGGCCAAUGGCUAGUACAAUAAAGUUAUUUGGAUUGGAUUGGAUGUUUACAUGUAGACUUUUUUCCAUGUAAACUUUUUCAAUAUUGGUAUCAAAAUACUCUGGUUGAGGUAAAAUUAUAGCUAUUUGUGCUAUAUGCACCAUAUAUUAUAGCUUUUGCCUCCUUAAUUUUGUGGUUUCCCCCCUUGUGAUCAUUAUAGUCAUUAGUAGGGAUUACUCUUUAGAACUGCAAAGGUGAAGGCAACACAUUUUGGAAACAACAUUUUUUUAAAAAAGAAGCUUCCUUUCCCCUUUUUCUCUUUCUCAUAUGAACAAAUGCCUUAACUAAUCUAGUGUGAAACAGAUGUUUUCUCUAGCCUCAAGUGGGCUAUAGAAUGAAAGAAAAAUUAUCCCUCUUAAAAAUAAAGACAUUCAAAGUUUCAAACUGCCAUAUAACCCUACUUUUUCUUUCCAUUAUCUCUGAGUUAGAAGAACAGCGCUUUCUGCUCCAGAUAUACCUGGAUGACAGAUGGCUACUUGGAGCAAUUGUUAUCAACUGAUGUUAGUUUAAUGCUACUAGUAGUUGUCUAGGGGUUCCAAAUUUAAGAAUUAUUACGGCAUGUUUAACUUGCCAGGGCCUUAUUAGGGGAGUGAUACUUAAUGAUCCUUUGGUACUUUGAACAAAGUUGAUCUAGAAACAUUUCCAGGAGAUAGAAAAGCAGGCUCCAUAAUAAGAAUAAUUGCAGUUAUUUAUUGGCCACUGGUUGUUAUGUAGCUGCAAAAUGUUUUGUACUGCGCAUAUUCAGAUCACACAAAGCAAUGAGGUUUAGAUACAAUUAUUGAAAUGUGUAAAAUGACUUUGAUAAUGCUCUGAUUAAUCUAAAAAUAUUGUUUUGAUAUUAAACGUAGGAGAACAGGUUUUAUUCCAUCUGGUUGACUACUGAACAUUAUGCCAUUCAUUUCAUUUUUCAGUUAUAUAGUAUUACCAUUUAGUAUAGAAAAUAUAUACUACUACUAAUAGUAUACACUAAUAUACUACUAUCUUAAUGUAGCUUAUUGCUUUUAUUUUUUAUUGUGCUUUACAUGGUUGUGUCAUGCCCUAAGAUGUGAUGAGGGAUGAGAUAUAUCCGUGCCAUAGAUAGAAAUAUAAGCCAGUUAAUAUGCAAGAAUAUUGGAUAACCAGCAAACUUGUUCCAUGGUUGACAUCUGCUUCAGAUUCUGCUCUGUGAAUCUGAAAAGGUGAAGGUGACACCGUACUACCUCAUUAUAUUUUUCCAUCCUGCCGAGUGAUUUCAUACCUUGCAAUAGUUCUUCCAUUUCUAGAGACUAGCUACAGUUUUUGAAUGUGACAAACAACAUAUAUAUUUAGUUCCGGGAAACCUUACAUCAGAUUUCCCUGUUACACUUGAAUCAGCUACACAAGGAAUGCAUUCUGGUGACAUGAGUAAUGACUUUGCCUAGGCAGCCCUAUAUUUUAGAUAUAACUAAAUCUGGAUUGCAGCAGUACAAAAACCAUAAGCUAUAAACAAGAGGUCAUUAGUCCACACACACACACACACACACACACACACGGAUCAGAGAUACUUUGAAUGGGAACAUAGAUCUAGUAGGCUACGGGCAUAAAAGAAAUUACUACUUGUUUCAGAUAAGAUGCUAUUGGAAAGGAUUACCUGUACAUUUGUGUGGUUAUUCUACUGUUAAUAUAUUGUUUUUGGAGGCUUGUUUUUAAAGGAAAGAAAAUGUACUACAGACUGGGUGGUAUGCUUUCUGUGAAAUAGAAUCUGGUGCAUGGAGCAAAUCUGGUUAACUGUGUCUGUAACUUUCUAACUCUAGAAAAUUCUGUACUCUCCCCAUGUACUAAGGAGAACGGUGAGGGCAUUUAGGAAGUUCUCCUGAGAAGGUUCAGGGUCUGCAUACCUUUGGAACUGUGUUGUUCCAGAGCUCCCCUAACCCUGAACCAAAAAGCCUGUUAAAAGCAAAGAAAAGCGUUCCUUGAAGUAUUUGUGUCCAGAAAUGCUUUCUAUAUUACAAAUCAACUUACAACCCCUUCUCUCAAUAAUACAAUC